rnacentral:rRNA from 1 species
GCCUAGCCGUAAACAUUGAUAGAUCUAUCCGCCCGGGUACUACGAGCAUCAGCUUGAAACCCAAAGGACUUGGCGGUACUUUAGAUCCCCCUAGAGGAGCCUGUUCUAUAACCGAUAACCCCCGUUCAACCUCACCCUCCCUUGCCCGCCUAUAUACCGCCGUCGUAAGCUUACCCUGUGAAGGCCUAAUAGUAAGCAAAAUUGGCACUGCCCAGAACGUCAGGUCGAGGUGUAGCAUAUGAGAGGGGAAGAGAUGGGCUACAUUCGCUCGAGUACUGAAAGAAGGAGGAUUUAGCAGUAAGUCGAAAAUAGAGUGUUCUACUGAAGCUGGCUCUGAAGUGCGU